AAUAUUGGACAAUGGGCGAAAGCCUGAUCCAGCCAUGCCGCGUGUGUGAAGAAGGUCUUCGGAUUGUAAAGCACUUUAAGUUGGGAGGAAGGGGUUGAGGCUAAUACCUUCAAUCUUUGACGCUACCAACAGACUAAGCACCUGCUAGCUCUGUGCCAGCAGCCGCGGUAAUCCAGAGGGUGCAAGCGUUAAGCGGCAUUACUGGGCGUAAAGCGCGCGUAGGUAGUUCAGUAAGAUGGGUGCGAAAUCCCCGGGCUUAACCUGGGAACUGCUUUCAUAACUGCUGAGCUAGAGUACGGUAGAGGGUAGUGGAAUUUCCUGUGUAGCGGUGAGAUGCGUAGAUAUAGGAAGGAACACCAGUGGCGAAGGCGACUACCUGGACUGAUACUGACACUGAGGUGCGAAAGCGUGGGGAGCAAACAGG
rnacentral:rRNA from 1 species